CUGGCUGUAGACAGCAUUAUCAGCCCUCAGUUCAUCAGGAUGGGCUCCGUGGCCUGUAGGUGGGUUUUCUAAAUGUAAUAAAUUCCAUAUGUCACAGCCAUUUAGUAUAUUAUUAGCCAGUUAGAAGUUUUGCCCCUGCUGAAUCUUACAUGCUUUUAAAAUAAAAUCUAUUUCACAGCUGAGUAAGUGUAAAUAUUUUAAAUACCGGCCUUAGAUUUGCCAUCAGCAGGCUAACUUUGCCAUCUAGUGGUAGCAACGUGGAUAACAGGCAAGUUCUUCCCUGGAUGACUAGGAAUUGAACCUUCCUGAGAAGCAUUGAUGACCAUUUCUCUCUGCAGUUAUUCAGAAUCAUCUGGCCAGGCCCCAGUGUCUCCCUGUUGUGUGUCAAUCCUGAGUAGGUGGAGGAUG
rnacentral:lncRNA from 1 species